GACGAACCGUGCGAACGUUAUUCGGAAUCACUGGGCUUAAAGCGCGUGUAGGCGGGGCGGCACGUCGGUCGCUGAAAGCCCCCGGCUCAACCGGGGAACGGGCGCCGAUACGACCGCCCUCGAGGAACGUAGGGGGACCUGGAACUUCCGGUGGAGCGGUGAAAUGCGUUGAGAUCGGAAGGAACGCCCGUGGCGAAGGCGGCUCUCUGGGACGGUACUGACGCUGAGACGCGAAAGCGUGGGGAGCGAACAGG
rnacentral:rRNA from 1 species